GUGUUAGAGUUCGGCAGCACAUAUACUAAAAUCGGAAAGAUAGAGAAGUUUCGCGUGGCCCCCGUGCAAGGAUGACACGCAAAUUUGUGAAGCAUUCCGUGUUUUU